rnacentral:rRNA from 1 species
UACGAAGGGGGCUAGCGUUGCUCGGAAUCACUGGGCGUAAAGCGCACGUAGGCGGCUUCUUAAGUCAGGGGUGAAAUCCUGGAGCUCAACUCCAGAACUGCCUUUGAUACUGAGGAGCUUGAGUCCGGAAGAGGUGAGUGGAACUCCGAGUGUAGAGGUGAAAUUCGUAGAUAUUCGGAAGAACACCAGUGGCGAAGGCGGCUCACUGGUCCGGUACUGACGCUGAGGUGCGAAAGCGUGGGGAGCAAACAGG